CUUUCUCCCACAAUGUUUCUGCCUUAGAACCAACUGAAUAUGGACUGAAACCUCUGAAACUUUCCUAAGAGGGUAAAGAGAAGCAAAUGCAAGGAAGAGAAGAGGAAUCAUUCCAGCACCACCACCACCCCUUCUCUUGGGACUAGAAGUUGCUCCACCUCCUCUACCCUGUGGAGAGGACAGGCAGAGUGAAGGGAGAGACGGCAGCUGAGAGCUCACUUGCACCCUGCCUCUGAGGAGCAUGGAGGACACGGCAGAGAUGUGGCCCAGAAGCCUUGAACUA